rnacentral:lncRNA from 1 species
UUCUUGGGGCAUACAUUUUUUUUUUAAGUUUGGAGGUUCCUCUGCCCCAGCAUUUCACAAACUAGGACACACAUAGCCCUGGGGAGAAUCACAGCAUUUGGGGAAAAAUGCAAAGAAACUAAAUAAGCCUGGUACAUGUUCCUGCUGUCUUUAUUUCAUUCACACUAGGGUAAGGAGAGUCACUCUUUUCUGUAAUCAGGUGCUUCAGAAGACAAAUCCAGUAAACAUAUCUUAGGACGAAAGGGGCCACAGAAUGAAGACCUAGGUUCCAUGCCUGGCUCUCUACUAUCUAAGUUGCCACUCACUUCACUCUUCCAGGCCUUUCAGGCUCCUUCUAGUUCUAAUUUUAUAAUUCAUGAUUGAAGGUUUUCACCUCAUCCUUACUUGCUUCUACAUGUCAUUCUUCUAACUGGAAUGUAUUAGCCUCCCCUUCCUACGAGGGUUGGCCUUGACUUUGCAUUCCUUCAGCCUCCAUGGAUUGUUUGCUGGAAGAGUUUGUAAGCAUUCUCAAGUGGUUUCCAAGUGUUCCCCAGUACUCCCGGAGAGACUGUAGUAAGCUCCUUCAUGCACAGUGUUGGGACAGCAUUCUGCAUGGGGGACCAAUGUCUACCAUCACCUGUUCAUGCUGAAAAUCCACAGCCCUGCCCCUGAUGCAAAUCAGUGAUGCACUAAUUUAAGGGGAAAAGUAACAGGAACCUAAAUUAUCCACCUAUUAAAGGUAGGUGAUCUGAAGACAAGAAGAUAAAGCUGAGAUCACACUCAGGUAAGCUCAGCUAUGAGAAGAAUAGCUCUGAACUCAGCAGGAACAAAAUGAGGAACUGGAGCCAGCAUAGAGAAGUGUUAACUCAUGCUGGUAGGAUGCCCCUUCUCACUCAAAACAGCCAAGUUCAUGACCCAGCCAUGGCCACCCUGUCAAAAUAAUUACUACUGAAAUGAGUUAAUAUAUGAAACAUGCUUACAGCCUGGCAUUGUUAGUUAAUAUUAUUAUCCUCAUUUCAUUGAGUAUAUCAGAACUAACAGGAGAAAUGGAAAGCUUUAUGUGUAGACUUUAGGGGCUCCAUGGCAGAAUUUUCACCUACCCAGAGCAGGCUGAGAUUCAACUUCCCUUUUCAGAUUUUGUCAACAUCUCGAAAGGUUCCAUGGCACAUUUCCUAUCACGUGGAAAGAUAAGCCCCAAUUCCCAGGUAACACAGAGCACUUUUAAGGAGGCAGCACGGUG